AAACCUUCUCGGCUUUCGUCUCCUCGGCAUGGAAGUCGACUUGGAGACCAGCGAAGCCCGAAGCUCUUCGGGAGGAAGCAAUCCGUCUACAGGAAUCUUGUGAGAUCCGCGGGUAACCGUACAAGAGACAGCAGUACUACAUGAAGAAUUCCCUUACUCUCUCGUACCCAAGCGGAAGCUCUACCUCCGCGGUGAUUCUCUAAUUACUGACCUUUUGUGGACUUCUUUCUUGAUAGGUUGGGUAUAUGAGGUACAAUGUGGCUGUCCUGCCUUUCCUUAUAAGGUCGAUAUCUUGGUUCUCUUGAAUCUUUGUUUUAGGCUAUAUAUCUCAGCAUAAACGAAUUAUUUUAUGAUAUUAGUUUUUCAGUCUCAACUUAUCUUUUUGUUGCAGUUAAUACAGUUUAGGAUAUUGAAUAAGAGAGAGAAUGCAUCAUUGUCUAAACAAUUUACAAUCAUACGAAACUCAAGCGCACUGUUCUUGAUGGAUACUAUAAUGAGUUCAAUUUUAGUCGACAGCACCAUUCCUGGUGCAAGCCAUAUUGACAAAUAUAUCUUUGCUUGGAUUGAACUUCUGUUUUGCCAUUUUGUUUGAUAUUCAAUGAUCUGAAGUUCCUCUAGCAAACUCUCAUAAUUUUGUGCAGCCUGAUGAUCAUAUUUUAUCAGACGAUGAUAAUGGAGGAGCUAAACUCAUGGGAAGUGUGCUCGAUCUUUUAUAUGUCAUAACAGGUUCCACAUCAUAUAUUUGAAGGUUCUGUAUGCUUUAGGAAAAGAAAACUUAUCUUACUAGUAUGUAUGUGAACUAUGCAAUUCCAUUAUCCACAUGAUUCAUCAUUUUCUUUCCAACAGGAACUAUAGUUGCUAUUCAUGGAAAGGAAACUAGUGAUGGUGAUUUUUUCUUUAUUCAAGAUGUGCUGGAAGCUGGCCUAACCCUGCAAAAUGAAGUCACCUAGCUCAAGACCAGAAGUAUGCUCAUUGACAAGUGAGGAAGCCUAGAUGACUGCUAGAAGAGUCAAAAGUUCCUUUGGCUAUAGGAAUUCUCUACGAGCAACUGAGAACUUCACAGUCUGCACAUUAAGAUGAGCUCUAGGACUAUAUUUGAAGAUUGGCUUUAGGAAUUCUCUACGUGCAAUGGAAAACUUCAAAGUCGCACAUUGAGAUGAACUCUAGAACUAUAUUUCAAGUAUGCAACUUCACUGUUCACAUUUUAUGUUGGCUUUAGUUUUUGGUCAAAGCGAUGGUUUUUUUUUUAUGUGCUGACUAAAGCCAAUAUGUUACAACUAAAAUGGACCGACUUCAACUAGUGUAACCCCACAACUUUAAUUUGCCAAAACUAUCUGAAAAUCAUGUCAUUUUCCACUGAAAUCGAUUGAAAAGUAAUUGGAACUCAUUAAUAUCCACUCUCAAAGCCUCGAUGUAAGGUUUCAUUUUUUAGAUCUCUUCUAAUCUAUUUCUUUAAUUCUCCCUGAUUUCUUAGCUUGCCAACUCGAGGCCAUCCGGAUCUUCCCAAUAAAAAAGAGCUGAUUUAGCUUGAACCAGUCAAUGUUUAAUAGAAAAUAUUGGAUAUUCCCAAUACAGAAUUUUGUCAUAAGCUCAGUUCACAGAGAUCUCGGUAAAAUACUUACAGUGGUUGAUUCCAUGAUUUUAUGAGUCCUUACAGCAUCAGCUCUGAGUCUUGGAUAGAAACCAAGUUGGAAACCUUAAGGAGUUAACAGACACAUGUGCUUACUUCAGACUUUUAUUGUUGUGUGUCAUGGUACAUCUAGAACUCUAUCAAAAGAUAAAAAGCUAAACCAGCAUUUAGUGUGCUUUACAAUUAAGAAUUAAUUACUAAUUGCUGUGUGAAAAACCAGGCAAGAUUUCAGAUGUCCUGUUACUCAUUAUCUUCUGACUCAUCUCUUCUGUAUUCUGUCAUCACUGUGUUCUGUUAUUGUAACGUUCUCUACAUUUUACUCUCAGUUGCCAAAGGUACCGAUGGAUGCCUAAUUUUUAACUGAUUACUGAAGUGUAUCCAAGGCUGGAAUGCCUUAUGGUUAUCUGGAUAUAGCAACAGAAACUUGCUGGCAUGAUCUUGUCUUAAAGCUUGGGGUAUCUAUUGCUAUUGAUAUGAAUGUAUAUUGCUGUAUGCCUGGACAGGAGGUCAUGCAUAGUCAGGUAUUUUGAAGAAUUCAUUAGUUGGUAUACUGAUCUAUGCUCUUUUUUAGCCAUCACUUUAACUGAUGCCUCUCCCGGGAGCAUCAGCGUGUAACACAUUUCUGUUAUGCACAAAUCCUCAUCAAUUUGAGCUGGAUGAUAUUUGUCAAGCAUUAAAUAUUUCUUCUGCAAUUCUGCCCUCGUGCCGGGAACUCCAGUGAGAAGGUGAUGCACAGGUUUCUUGGAACCUCUUGCUGGAGUAUUGAUGACCUUUUCGAGUAUUCUUAGGCACGAAGCAAACUUGAUAAUAUGGAGAGGACAUCCUGGGCACCUGGCACCAAUUGCUCAAAACACAAGUAGUAUUUUACUAGUGAUUAUGUCCAC